rnacentral:sRNA from 1 species
AACCCAACUGAGCUCAUUCGGGGGCUAUGUUUCGAGAAUGUCGGUCCUAAAUUCUCGUCUUCGAAACUAAAAAACGUAUUUUAUUUUUGUUUUUUUUUUCUGUUUUUUGUUUGUGCCUAAAUUUUGUGUAAUUUUUUUGGCUAAAUUUUCGUGUCAUGUUUGGAAAAAAAGAGUGAUAUUUUUGGAAUGUGGAGUCGCGGAAGUGGAAUACUUGAAUUCGUAGAGUCUAUGUGUCACGGUCGCCAUGUGUACAACUAAUGAAUGGGAGGACUCUGUGGUCACUCUGGUCAUCUGAUCAGAGACCAUCCUCGCUGUCAUCCUCUUUCUGAAGUCCCUGUGAGUGUUCUAGAGUCUUUGUGUCACGGUCGCCAUGUGUACAACUAAUGGAUGGGAGGACUCUCUGUUGCCUCUGGUCUUCUGAUGAAGGAUCAGAGUCUAGAACCUAUUUCCAUCCUCGCUGUCGUCUCCUCUUCCUGAAGUUCCUCUUUGUCUCAAAAAAACGUCGUUUGGUGCCGAAGUUGUUACCUGUUACCUGUAUUUUGGAAUACAAGAAACUGGCGAUUUGCCGAAUAACUCUUACAAGGACAUUUAGGCUCGAUUCCUGCAGCUGGGAGGUACAGGAUUGCCACAAAGUGUCCUUGAUGGUGAAGGCGUACAUAUGGAGGUUCCACUUGAAGAUGCCUGAUA